GGGGAUGUAGCUCAGUGCUGGAGCACUUGUCUGGUAGGCACGAGGCCUAGGUUCCGUCCCAGCACCCCCC
rnacentral:tRNA from 1 species